rnacentral:rRNA from 1 species
GAUGAACGCUGGCGGCGUGCCUAAUACAUGCAAGUCAAGCGAACAGACGAGGAGCUUACUCCUCUGACGUUAGCGGCGGACGGGUGAGUAACACGUGGAUAACCUACCUAUAAGACUGGGAUAACUUCGGGAAACCGGAGCUAAUACCGGAUAACAUGUUGAACCGCAUGGUUCAACAGUGAAAGACGGUCUUGCUGUCACUUAUAGAUGGAUCCGCGUCGCAUUAGCUAGUUGGUAAGGUAACGGCUUACCAAGGCAACGAUGCGUAGCCGACCUGAGAGGGUGAUCGGCCACACUGGAACUGAGACACGGUCCAGACUCCUACGGGAGGCAGCAGUAGGGAAUCUUCCGCAAUGGGCGAAAGCCUGACGGAGCAACGCCGCGUGAGCGAAGAAGGUCUUCGGAUCGUAAAACUCUGUUAUUAGGGAAGAACAAAUGUGUAAGUAACUAUGCACGUCUUGACGGUACCUAAUCAGAAAGCCACGGCUAACUACGUG